rnacentral:rRNA from 1 species
GUGAUAGUCUUGUAAUCGAAAAUUUUAAUUUAAGUAGGUUUUAUCCCAAGUAGCAUGGAGCACGUGGAAUUCCGUGUGAAUCAACGAGGACCACCUCGUAAGGCUAAAUAUUACUAAGUGACCAAUAGUGAUUAGUACCGUGAGGGAAAGGUGAAAAGAACCCCGUAAGGGGAGUGAAAUAGAACAUGAAACUGUAAGCUUACAAACAGUAGUAGAACGACUUAACGUUUUACUGCGUGCCUGUUGAAGAAUGAGCCGGCGACUCAUAUGUGAUGGCAGGUUAAAUGUUGGAGCCAUAGCGAAAGCGAGUCUGAAAAGGGCGUUUGUCAUUAUGUAUGGACCCGAACCCGGAUGAUCUAACCAUGGCCAGGGUGAAACUUAGGUAAAAUUAAGUGGAGGCCCGAACCGACUGAUGUUGAAAAAUCAGCGGAUGAGUUGUGGUUAGGGGUGAAAUGCCAAUCGAAUCCGGAGCUAGCUGGUUCUCCCCGAAAUGCGUUUUGGCGCAGCGGUUAAUUUUAAAAUUUAGGGGUAAAGCACUGUUUCGGUGCGGGCUGGUAACUCGGUACCAAA